rnacentral:rRNA from 2 species
UGGGGAAUAUUGCACAAUGGGGGAAACCCUGAUGCAGCGACGCCGCGUGAGUGAAGAAGUAUUUCGGUAUGUAAAGCUCUAUCAGCAGGGAAGAAAAUGACGGUACCUGACUAAGAAGCCCCGGCUAACUACGUGCCAGCAGCCGCGGUAAUACGUAGGGGGCAAGCGUUAUCCGGAUUUACUGGGUGUAAAGGGAGCGUAGACGGUUGUGCAAGUCUGAUGUGAAAGCCCGGUGCUCAACGCCGGGACUGCAUUGGAAACUGUAUAACUAGAGUGCAGGAGAGGUAAGCGGAAUUCCUAGUGUAGCGGUGAAAUGCGUAGAUAUUAGGAGGAACACCAGUGGCGAAGGCGGCUUACUGGACUGUAACUGACGUUGAGGCUCGAAAGCGUGGGGAGCAAACAGG